rnacentral:rRNA from 1 species
GACGAACGCUGGCGGCGUGCUUAACACAUGCAAGUCGAACGGAAAGGCCCUGCUUUUGUGGGGUGCUCGAGUGGCGAACGGGUGAGUAACACGUGAGUAUCCUGCCCUUGACUUUGUGAUAACUUCAGGAAACUGGGGCUAAUACCGGAUAGGAGCUCCUGCUGCAUGGUGGGGGUUGGAAAGUUUCGUCGGUUGGGGAUGGACUUGCGGCUUAUCAGCUUGUUGGUGGGGUAGUGGCUUACCAAGGCUUUGACGGGUAGCCGGCCUGAGUGGGUGACCGGCCACAUUGGGACUGAGAGACGGCCCAGACUCCUACGUUAGGCAGCAGUGGGGAAUAUUGCACAAUGGGCCGAAGCCUGAUGCAGAAACGCCGCGUGCGGGAUGACGGCCUUCGGGUGGUAAACCGCUUUCGCCUGUGACGAAGCUUGAGUGACGGUAAUGGGUAAAGAAGCACCGGCUAACUACGUG